CAGUCACUGGUAAGUUACCGAAUCUGCGUUGGCUGCCUUUCAUGCCACUGGUGCUCCUUUGUGGCUAUGGACCAGUGGGGGGGUGUAUUUCAAUCCUGUGCUUGUUUCUUUUUUGUCAGAGUUUCUUUGGUUAUCCCCUGAGCAUCUUCUUCAUCGUGGUCAAUGAGUUUUGCGAAAGAUUUUCCUACUAUGGAAUGCGAGCAAUCCUGAUUCUGUACUUCACAAAUUUCAUCAGCUGGGAUGAUAACCUGUCCACCGCCAUCUACCAUACGUUUGUGGCUCUGUGCUACCUGACGCCAAUUCUCGGAGCUCUUAUCGCCGACUCGUGGCUGGGAAAGUUUAAGACCAUUGUGUCGCUCUCCAUUGUCUACACGAUUGGACAAGCAGUCAUCUCAGUAAGCUCCAUUAAUGAUCUCACAGACCACAACCAUGAUGGCACCCCCGACAGCCUUCCUGUGCACGUGGUGCUGUCCAUGAUCGGCCUGGCCCUGAUAGCUCUCGGGACUGGAGGAAUCAAACCCUGCGUGUCUGCGUUUGGUGGAGAUCAGUUUGAAGAGGGCCAGGAGAAACAAAGAAACAGAUUUUUUUCCAUCUUUUACUUGGCUAUUAAUGCUGGAAGUUUGCUUUCCACGAUCAUCACACCCAUGCUCAGAGGUAAGAGAUACCUGAAAGGAACUUCUGUUGGUCUUUUUUUAGUAAGGCUAAGGCCGUGUCUUCUUCGUUUUGUUCUGUUCUUCCCUUCUGCCCUGUUUUCUAGCUGUCAGCUACAUGCUGGGAUGCACGUUGGAAUCUGGAGUAAGUGCUUCCUUCCCUGUGAGUUUCACCUCCUUUUCGUCUUAUUUAAAUCCCUUAUCCCAGUGACCACUGGAGAGUCUAAGCCAUCCUUAGCAUGGGCAUCCAUCUUCCUAAACUGUUAUUCAUGCAAAGUCGUGCUCAUGGUAAGAGGUAAGAGGCAAGAGAGGUGCCUUGGAAGCCAAGCUGGUGGCCGUAGCUGCCAUUUUAGCCUUCAAGCUUUGCUCCCCAGUGAUAUUUCUAUGACUUAGGAAGAGUUUACUGGGCAAAAUUGUAUUGAUUUUUUGUUUGUUUUGUUUUGUUUUUAGAAGGAGUCUUGCUCUGUCACCCACACUGGAGCGCAGUGGCGUGAUCUUGGCUCACUGCAACCUCCACCUCCUGGGUUCAAGCAAUUCUCCUGCCUCAGCCUCCUGAGUAGGUGGGACGACAGGCGCCUGCCACCAUGCCCGGAUAAUUUUUUUUGUAUUUUUAGUAGAGAUGGGAUUUCACCAUGUUAGCCAGGAUGGUCUCGAUCUCCUGCCCUCGUGAUCUGCCUGCCUUGGCCUCCCAAAGUGCUGGGAUUACAGGUGUGAGCCACCGCGCCUGGCUAAGGCAAAGUUUUUUUCUUUGCUUUCCCAUCAUCUCAAGUAUUUCCAAAAGAACUGCUCAGAUAAAGAGAAUGGGACAGUGUCAGUAACUAUCAGAGGUCUGUGCUUGCUAAUGCUCCAUUGAGAGUUUGUGAAUUUCCCACGUGGAAGGGAAUAUGUGGUGUUACUGGUGACAAACUAACAAGACCAUCCUGUCCACAUUUGAAUCAGAUUAGAUUAUGAAAUAAAGAUUUCAGGGGGAUU
rnacentral:sRNA from 1 species